CCAAUAGCGUAUAUUAAAGUUGUUGCAGUUAAAAAGCUCGUAGUUGAAUUUUAGGCCUGGCCGGACGGUCCGUCUCUGGCGAGUACUGUUCUGUCGUCGGGUCUAUCCUUCUGGUGAGCCGGUAUGUUCUUAAUUGGGCGUGUCGGGGAACCAGGACCAUUACCUUGAAAAAAUUAGAGUGUUUAAAGCAGGCUUUUGCUUGAAUAGAUUAGCAUGGAAUAAUAGAAUAGGACGUUGUGGUUCUAUUUUGUUGGUUCUAGGACCACCGUAAUGAUUAAUAGGGAUAGUUGGGGGCAUUAGUAUUCAAUUGUCAGAGGUGAAAUUCUUGGAUUUAUUGAAGACUAACUACUGCGAAAGCAUUUGCCAAGGAUGUUUUCAUUAAUCAAGAACGAAAGUUAGGGGAUCGAAGACGAUCAGAUACCGUCGUAGUCUUAACCAUAAACUAUGCCGACUAGGAAUCGGGCGACGUUAUUUUCACGACUCGCUCGGCGCCUUAUG
rnacentral:rRNA from 1 species